UUAUUUUUAACUGUACUAAUCUUCAUCAUUUUCUCUCUGUGAGAGGGGCUCUCGGAGGGAUGGCCAACCAAAUGAGGAAGAGGAGACAAUUGGGAGAAUUAGGAUACAAUGCCAGUGGACCAACAUUGGAAAAAAUAGCAAGAAGAGAAGAACUCCAUCUCUCAUCAAGAAGAGUCCAGAAAGGGGAAACAACUACAGCCAAACAUGGUAGACAGGAAUUGAUGACAGCUGUACCCCACUACCCGUAGUACCCCUAGGUUAAGAAGAGUGCAUCACCUGCCAGCAAGAAUACCAAGAGAAGGAUAGACUUUGGCCAACCCAAAAGGUUACCAAAUGGAUGUAGAGGAGCAAGGCCAAUCAGAAGCACUAGACCACUCAACAGCUAGAGAGCCCGGCAAAGGUUAAUUUUACCAGACAUAAGGUGAGCUG